UGGGGAAUAUUGGACAAUGGGCGAAAGCCUGAUCCAGCCAUGCCGCGUGUAUGAAGAAGGUCUUCGGAUUGUAAAGCACUUUAAGUUGGGAGGAAGGGCAGUAAGUUAAUACCUUGCUGCUUUGACGUUACCGACAGAAUAAGCACCGGCUAACUCUGUGCCAGCAGCCGCGGUAAUACAGAGGGUGCAAGCGUUAAUCGGAAUUACUGGGCGUAAAGCGCGCGUAGGUGGUUUGUUAAGUUGGAUGUGAAAGCCCCGGGCUCAACCUGGGAACUGCAUCCAAAACUGGCAAGCUAGAGUACGGUAGAGGGUGGUGGAAUUUCCUGUGUAGCGGUGAAAUGCGUAGAUAUAGGAAGGAACACCAGUGGCGAAGGCGACCACCUGGACUGAUACUGACACUGAGGUGCGAAAGCGUGGGGAGCAAACA
rnacentral:rRNA from 1 species